GUGCUGUCUUUGGCAGCGCAUAUACUAAAACUGGAAUGAUACAGAGAAGAUUAGCAUGGCCCCUGAGCAAGGAUGACAUGCAAAUUCGUGAAGGGUUCCAUUUUUUU
rnacentral:snRNA from 1 species